GCGAAGCCAGCGUCCGGGCCGGCGGGACGGCGUCGGCUGGGUUGGCCGGGGCGGCGGGGCGCUAGAGCCGGGGCGGGCGGGCCGCGGGCCGGGGAUCGGGUGACGGGCGGGCUGAGCUCCCGCCCCCGCGCGGUCCCGGGGAGGAUGCGGCCGGGGGCCUCGGGGCGGGGCGGGCGGCGGCGGCGGCAGCGCUAGCGGCGCAGGGGGUGGGCGGCGGCGGCAUGAGGCGCGGGGCCGGCGUCCGCGGGAGGGAGGCGCUGCCCGCGGCCCGGCCGCUCCCGCUGCAGCUGCUCGCCGGGUUCGCCGUGCCCUGCCCGCGGGGCCCCGGCUGUUCUCAUCCCGGCCGCCGCCCGGGCUGCCGCUGGUGACCACUCGCCGUGCCGCCGGAGGCUUCACCCGCGCCCUCCCCCAGGACGCGCCCGCGGAGCUCCGGCCUCUUCGCCCCGCUCGCGGAGGCCGCGCUGCGCGCCGGGCGGCGGCGAGGCCGGAAGAUGGCCUGGGUGCUCAAGAUGGACGAGGUGAUCGAGUCCGGGCUGGUGCACGACUUCGACGCCAGCCUCUCGGGCAUCGGGCAGGAGCUGGGCGCCGGCGCCUACAGCAUGAGCGAUGUCUUGGCAUUGCCAAUUUUCAAGCAGGAAGAUUCCAGCCUUCCAUUGGAUGACGAAACCAAACACCCGCCCUUCCAGUAUGUGAUGUGUGCAGCAACGUCACCAGCCGUGAAGCUGCACGACGAAACGCUCACGUACUUGAACCAAGGUCAGUCUUAUGAAAUUCGCAUGCUGGAUAAUCGGAAAAUGGGAGAUGUGCCUGAGAUCACUGGAAAACUGGUAAAGAGCAUCAUAAGAGUUGUAUUCCAUGACAGACGGCUCCAGUACACGGAGCAUCAGCAGCUUGAAGGCUGGAAGUGGAAUCGCCCAGGAGACAGACUCCUCGAUUUAGAUAUUCCAAUGUCUGUGGGAAUAAUUGACACAAAGACAAAUCCAAGCCAGUUAAAUGCAGUUGAAUUUCUGUGGGAUCCUGCAAAACGCACAUCUGCUUUCAUUCAGGUACACUGCAUCAGCACAGAAUUUACUCCCCGGAAGCAUGGAGGUGAAAAGGGAGUGCCUUUUAGGAUCCAGGUUGACACCUUUAAGCAGAAUGAAAAUGGAGAAUACACAGAUCACCUACACUCAGCUAGCUGCCAAAUCAAAGUUUUUAAGCCGAAAGGUGCAGAUAGGAAACAAAAAACUGAUCGAGAGAAGAUGGAGAAGAGAACCGCUCAUGAGAAGGAGAAGUACCAGCCGUCCUAUGACACCACGGUCCUCACAGAGAUGAGGCUUGAGCCUAUAAUUGAAGAUGCAGUUGAACAUGAGCAGAAAAAGUCCAGCAAGCGGACUUUGCCAGCAGACUACGGUGAUUCUCUGGCAAAGCGAGGCAGUUGCUCUCCAUGGCCCGACACCCCCACCGCCUAUGUGAACAGCAGCCCUUCCACGGCGCCCACCUUCACGGCCCCACAGCAGAGCGCUUGCAGCAUCCCGGACAGCAAUUCUUCUUCCCCAAAUCAUCAAGGAGAUGGAGUUUCACAGGCCUCUAGUGAACAACUUCAGCCUUCAGCCACGAUCCAGGAAACACAACAAUGGCUGAUCAAAAACAGAUUCUCUUCCUACACAAGACUGUUCUCCAGUUUUUUAGGUGCCGACUUGUUAAAACUGACAAAGGAGGAUCUAGUACAAAUUUGUGGUGCAGCCGAUGGAAUUCGGCUCUAUAAUUCACUGAAGUCAAGGUCGGUGCGGCCCCGCCUGACCCUCUACGUCUGCCGCGAGCAGCCGGCGCCGCAGGGGCAGCAGCAGGCAGCGGGUGGCGGGGGCGACGGCGGCGGCGCCACGCCCUACGUUUAUCAUGCAAUCUACUUAGAAGAAAUGGUUGCUUCAGAAGUUGCUCGAAAACUUGCGUUGGUGUUUAAUAUUCCUUUCCACCAAAUUAACCAGGUUUACAGACAGGGUCCCACCGGUAUUCACAUUCUUGUUAGCGAUCAGAUGGUUCAAAACUUUCAAGAUGAGAGUUGUUUUUUAUUCUCCACAGUAAAAGAUGAGAAGGUGGGAAAACUGGAGGCAGGAGAUGUCAUCUAGACGAGAGGUGACGGGAUCUUGGACGCUGGUAGACAGACAGGGCCCUGCUGGGCUCCACAUUGGAGGGAGGAGUGGUUGUGACUCUCACAGGAGCAGCUGGGCAGGCGGUGGUCGCGGUGGAGAGCUGAAAACGGCGGUGGCGUCCACAUAAUUUUGAAGUGACGUCUUGACGUAGUCUGAACUCUAUUCAGCACCAGUUUAAAGUUACGCUUAAAAGUGUGUGAAGACUGAAUCCAAGAAGUCUUGGGAUUGGAUUUUACCGUAUGAAAUGUUUCAUAUUGAAAACACAGGAUGACCUUUCUUGCGAACUGGAUGAGAGGCACGUCUCCUUCGCUUCACUGCCGCGGCCUCGCCCCGGGACAGUGAGCACGUCGGGCCCCGGUGCAGGUAGGCCGCCUGCUUCUCUGCCAGAGAGGCCAGUAGACACAGUCCCUAGAAGCAGCCUUCGCUGUCUUUUUACACUGUAUGCGGUUUGGAAAUGAAUGUAAAGAUGUACUGUGGGCAUUUACCUUUCUGGGCCAGUUCGGCUUCUGCUGCCCGGACCUUAUGCUGACCUGGGGGCAGGGGGGGCACUGGCUGCUGCGGGGCCAGCGCCGAAUCCACGUGUGGAGAGAGUGAGGCCGGCGCUGAUACGGGCCGAUCAGUGGUCGGGAGAGGCUUGGUGCCUUCCUGGAAAAAACCACGUCUGAGGGUGCGCGUCUGCCGUGAUCAUGCCAGAUCGGGGAAGCCCCAAGCCAGGAAGACGGGCGUGAAGCAAACUGCAUUAUCAAGAGUACCUUGGUGAGAGGAUCAGUGUAAAUCCUAAUAGGUACAAAGACUUUUGUGUUUUUGCUCUGUCACAGAUUUAUUGAAAAACUUUUUGCUUCUGCUUCCAUUUUUAGCAUUUUGUUUCUGGUUUUCAUUUUUGAAGCCCCGAUGCCUUUUAAACUCAUGUGGUUUUCUUUCUCCUUUUCCUCCCUCUCUCUGUCUCUGACCACCCACCCCACCCUGCACCAUACUGUUGUUAAACUUUUUUAAAGCCCUGUCCCCAACAUUGGAAAUACACCUAAGCAGGAGAAAACAGUGUGAUAGUUUCUGACUUGGUGUUAAGGGGUCUUCAUUAUCAAGAGUUGAAAUUUAUUUGUGGAACACUAGACAUCACAAACACUAUAUUGUACCAUCAAAAUUCCUCACACUUCUCUAAUAUGGAGCUUUAGUACAAUCAUGGGUAACAUUCUGGUGAUUAUUUAGGGACUUUUUUAUACACCACAUAAUAGCUUCUUUUUCUAUAAAAAGAGUGCCUCUUUCACAAAACCAAAUGCUUGUUGGCCAGUAUACUUUCCAAAGGGAAUCACUGUUUUUGCAAUUUUUUCUACUAUCUAUCAUCAGUCAUCAAUCAAUCAUUAUUAUCUCAUCUCUUCACCCGAAGCCUUCCCAAAAUUCAUCAGCAAGCAUUUGAGGCCUGUGGUGUACUAGACACAAUUUUCUUUUCAAACUUCGAUUCCAUUUUAAUUAUACCAUCUCUGUCCGUUCACCCAGUGUCUUGGUUUUGAGUGUAUUAUUUGAUCCUUAUCUAUCUUUGUUCGGGCAGAAAUAGGAAUGGGUAAUUUUGAGUUUAAAAUCUCUCCCAGAAGACAAAACUACUUCAGUGGGUGAAAGCUUUGGCAUUUUAUGUUUUAUUCAUAAAGGGGGUUAUUUGAUAUGAAAAAGUAGUGUCUCUAAAUAUUCCAUCUUUGGUUUGAAAAUAUCCAUAACUUGUAUAGACCCUAAAGCAGGAGAGCUUUCCUUUCCGUCAUUUUCCCUUUGCUUCUGUAUGACCACAUGUUUUCUGUACCAGUCAGUCAGUCACUUGGGAAAGAAGUGAGCUUCUCUCUUAAUUGUUUUAGAGUUUUGCUUGUCUAUUUAGCAUUCCUUUUUGAGUCUCAAGAUUUAUGGAACAAUAAAUGUCAUUUUUAAUGCUGUGUGCUAUUUUGAAUUCCUCAUCAGGUUUUACAAGUGGGGUAAAAAUAAUUAAAAGCUCAUCAAACUUGAAAUGACACCAAGCAGCAUUGAACAUUAGUCUCUCCCAGUGAAACAGGUUAAAUUAUGGCACCAGCAAAUUUGCUACUUUGUUUUUUUAAUAGUAGGAUGUACACAUUUCAGUAUAAUAAAUGUUUUCCGAUUGUUUUGCAAA